CCUACGGGUGGCAGCAGUGGGGAAUAUUGGACAAUGGGCGAAAGCCUGAUCCAGCCAUGCCGCGUGUGUGAAGAAGGCCUUCGGGUUGUAAAGCACUUUCAGUGGGGAAGAAAGCCUUGGGGCUAAUACCCUCGAGGAAGGACAUCACCCACAGAAGAAGCACCGGCUAACUCCGUGCCAGCAGCCGCGGUAAUACGGAGGGUGCGAGCGUUAAUCGGAAUUACUGGGCGUAAAGCGCGCGUAGGCGGUCUGAUAAGCCGGUUGUGAAAGCCCCGGGCUCAACCUGGGAACGGCAUCCGGAACUGUCAGGCUAGAGUGCAGGAGAGGAAGGUAGAGUUCCCGGUGUAGCGGUGAAAUGCGUAGAGAUCGGGAGGAAUACCAGUGGCGAAGGCGGCCUUCUGGACUGACACUGACGCUGAGGUGCGAAAGCGUGGGUAGCAAACAGGAUUAGAUACCGUGUAGUC
rnacentral:rRNA from 1 species